GUCGCACGAGAGUUUUCAACUCUAGUGGCGGACGGGUGAGUAACACGUGAGAAUCUGCCCUUAGGAGGAGGAUAACAGCUGGAAACGGUUGCUAAUACUCCAUAUGCUGAAAAGUGAAAGGAUUUAUCUGCCUAAGGAGGAGCUCGCGUCUGAUUAGCUAGUUGGUAAGGUAAAGGCUUACCAAGGCGACGAUCAGUAGCUGGUUUGAGAGGACGAUCAGCCACACUGGGACUGAGACACGGCCCAGACUCCUACGGGAGGCAGCAGUGGGGAAUUUUCCGCAAUGGGCGAAAGCCUGACGGAGCAAUACCGCGUGAGGGAUGACAGCCUGUGGGUUGUAAACCUCUUUUCUCAAGGAAGAAGUUCUGACGGUACUUGAGGAAUAAGCAUCGGCUAACUCUGUG
rnacentral:rRNA from 1 species